rnacentral:rRNA from 1 species
UACGGGGGGAGCAAGCGUUGUUCGGAUUUACUGGGCGUAAAGGGUGCGUAGGUGGGCUGGUAAGUCAGUGGUGAAAUCUCCAGGCUUAACUUGGAAACUGCCAUUGAUACUAUCAGUCUUGAAUACCGUGGAGGUCAGCGGAAUAUGUCAUGUAGCGGUGAAAUGCUUAGAUAUGACAUAGAACACCAAUUGCGAAGGCAGCUGGCUACACGAAUAUUGACACUGAUGCACGAAAGCGUGGGGAUCAAACAGG